AACGAACGCUGGCGGCAGGCUUAACACAUGCAAGUCGAGCGCCCCGCAAGGGGAGCGGCAGACGGGUGAGUAACGCGUGGGAAUCUACCCAUCUCUACGGAAUAACGCAUGGAAACGUGUGCUAAUACCGUAUACGUCCUUCGGGAGAAAGAUUUAUCGGAGAUGGAUGAGCCCGCGUUGGAUUAGCUAGUUGGUGGGGUAAAGGCCUACCAAGGCGACGAUCCAUAGCUGGGCUGAGAGGAUGAUCAGCCACACUGGGACUGAGACACGGCCCAGACUCCUACGGGCGGCAGCAGUGGGGAAUAUUGGACAAUGGGCGCAAGCCUGAUCCAGCCAUGCCGCGUGAGUGAUGGAGGCCCUAGGGUUGUAAAGCUCUUUCACCGGUGAAGAUAAUGACGGUAACCGGAGAAGAAGCCCCGGCUAACUUCGUGCCAGCCGCCGCCGUAAGAC
rnacentral:rRNA from 1 species